GUGCCAGCAGCCGCGGUAAUACAGAGGGUGCAAGCGUUAAUCGGAUUUACUGGGCCGUAAAGCGCGCGUAUGUGGCCAAUUAAGUCAAAUGUGAAAUCCCCGGAGCUUAACUUGGGAAUUGCAUUCGAUACUGGUUGGCUAGAGUAUGGGGAGAGGGAUGGUAGAAUUUCCAGGUGUACCGGUGAAAAUGCGUAAGAGAUCUGGAGGAAUACCGAUGGCGGAAGGCAGCCAUCUGGCCUAAUUACUGACACUGAGGUGCGAAAGCAUGGGGGAGCAAACCAGGAUUAAGAUCC
rnacentral:rRNA from 1 species